UACGGUUCUCUAACUAAGGAAACAGGGUGAAAUGAGCUUAAAAUUCCAAAUUCUCUUAGAAAGGUGUCAAGUUACUUCGGAGCGCGCUCACAGCUGUACAGCUGGACCCGGAGGGCGAGGGCCGGCCGAAAGGCCUCCUCCCUUGGCAGCGGCCCCUCCUCCGUCCCCCGGGCGCCAGGACCCGGCCGGGACGAGGCCGAUCCACGUUCGGCGGCAGCGGACGAGCCGACCACAGCCCGGACCGCCGAGCUUCCGCACACGCCGCCGCCGCCGGCGGAGCGCGCACGGCGUGGUCACCGCCAGAGCGUUCAAAGAACUCGCGCGAGAGUAGGAAACACCUCCAGGCUGCCGCGAGCGCGUCGGGAGGGCGGGAGAGCGCGACGGGGCCCGGCUGCGCGCCUGCGCAGAGGGCCGAGCCGCCCGCCUCCCGCUGGAAGUGGGGCAUCCGUGGAUGCGGAGGCCCGGCCGGCCGGAAGUGGGCGCGCGCAGGGAAUGGGGGCCGAGCAGAGACACCGCUCCGCGGGCGAGACGCGCGGUUCGCGGCACUGGGCGGCAGGUCAAGGAUGCAUCCAAGAAAUUUAUAAAAAUAUAUCAUCGGCACCAAUCUGAUAGUUGACCUAGCCAUGGAAAGCCUCAUUGGAGCCUGACUACGUCAGACCAUAACUGGAACUCAAAACUCUUCCCAUCAAAAACUACCGGGAAUGAAAAUCUAAGAUACCUAUCUACCACUUCAAAAAAGUUCCCGUACUGGCCAACAGUCUAACAGUUUAAGUCAGUUUCUUUGAUCAUCAAGCAGACAUGUUCAAGCUACUAACACAGCAUUGGAAAAUGGCUCUAUAUCAGUGUUUUGCACAUUAUUUGUGUGACCCAUUAGUAGGUCAUGAAAUCAAUUUUGUGAGUUAUGAUGAACAUUUUUUAAGGCAAAAUAAAAUAUAAUCAGCGUGUUUUGCAUAAAUCUUUUGCCAGAAUUAUGCAUAUUGCAAGGAAUACUAAGGUCAGUUACAAUAUGUAAAAAGAUAUUCGAUGGAAGGGAUGUGAUGAAUAGAAUGUAUGUUUGCUAAGAAAUGGUUUUUCCGUCAUUUGCCCACUGGUGUCUUAUUUGGUUUUCAUAAUUGGCGCCUAGUUGUUUUUUUUGUUUGUUUGUUUGUUUUUGGUUUUUUUUUUUGGUGCCUAGUUUUAUAUUACCAUGACUUCCAACUAGAUGUGAAGUCUGAGAUGUUAAACUGAGUUUAGAUAUUAUCUAGGCUAUAAAUAUGUAUUUGAAUUUGUGUAAUUAUAACAUUUUAAUCAAAAUUACUUUUAAAAUGGAUAAUUUUUUUUAAAAGAAAGGAAUAAUGGUGUGAAAUAUUCAGAAGCAUGUUCAGGUUCAAUCGUUGAAUCUGAAAGUGUGAAGACUGACAGUAUGGAGAAAAAUACUAACUCUCAUCUGUAAACUUCAUCUUCAUUUGAGCCACAUUUCAAAAAAAAAAAGUAAGUACAAGACGCUAUAAUGAGAAUUAUUUAAAAUGUGGUUUUAUCAAAUGUGAAAAACCUUUUGAAAAUGACAGACCUCAGUGUGUUAUUUGUAAUAAUAAUCUUGCAAAUGAAAGCUUAAAACCUUCAAAGUUCAAAAGGCGUUUAGAAACUCAGCAUGCUGAACUUACCGAUAAACCUCUUGAAUAUUUUCAAAGAAAGAAGAAAGAUGUAAAGUUAUCAACAUAAUUUCUUAGUUGUUCUAUUGUCAGUGAGAAAGCCUUAUUGUCAUCAUAUUUAGUUGCAUACCGUGUGGCAAAAGAGAAAAUGGCUCACACAGCUACUGAAAAAAUUAUUCUUCCAGCAUGUUUGGAUAUGGUAUGUACAAUUUUUGAUGGUAAAUCAGCUGAUAAAUUAAAAACUGUCCUCAGCGAUAUAACACAGUAUCUCUUUGCAUUUGUACCAUUGUGGAACAUUUUGAAAUAAUGCUUAUUUCUCGGUUACAGUCUGGUACAGAUUUUGCAAUCCAGCUUGAAAGCACUGAUAUUGGAAGCUGCACAGCACUUGUAGUUUAUGUCAGAUAUGCAUGGCAAGAUGAUUUUUAUGGAGGAUUUUUUGUGUUGUUUAAAUUUAACCUCAAACCUAAGUAGAUUAGAUAUUUUUACAGAAUUAGAAAAGUACAUUAUUGGUCAGUGUAAAUUGGAAAAACUGCAAAGGAAUUACGAGUGACAGAACAGCAGACAUAACUGGAAAACAUAGCGAGGUUACCAGAGGUUACUAAUAACGGCGCCGUGUGGAAUCAUUGUUUUAUACAUUGUGAAGCUUUAGCAUCCAGAGAAAUGCCACAGAACCUCAUGGAAGUAUUGAAAAAUGCAGUGAAAGUUGUUAAUUUUAUUAAAGAAAGCUCACUAAAUAGCCAGCUCCUCGAAACAUUUUGUUCAGAGAUUAGAACUAAUUAUACCCACUUACUGUACCAUACCAAAGUUCAUUGGUUGUCUCAAGGGAAAAUACUAAGCAGAGUUUACAAACUCAGGAAUGAGAUUCACAUUUUUCUCACUGAAAAAAAAAUCUCAUUUGGCAAGUAUUUUUGAAGAUGACAUUUGGGUAAUGGAAUUGGCGUAUUUAACUGAUAUUUUUGGCAUUCUUAAUGAGCUCAGUUUAAAACUACAGGGGCAAAACAAUGAUAUAUUCCAGUAUGUCGAACGUAUCCAAGAAUUUCAGAAGACAUUAUUGUCAUGGCAAGCAAGGCUUAAUAGUAACUGUCCUAGCUACUACACGUUUCCAAGAUUUUUGCAACAUAUUGAAGAGAAUUUUAUUAAUGAAGCCAUUUUGAAAGAAAUAAAAUUAGAGAUAUUAUUGCAUCUCACUUCUCUAUCUCAAACUUUUAACUGUUACUUUCCAGAAGAGAAAUUUGAAACAUUAAGAGAAAACUGUUGGGUAAAAGAUCCAUUUGCUUUUCAAAACCCAGAAUCGAUAGUUGAGUUAAACCCGGUGCCUGAAGAAGAGAAUGAAUUACGCAGCUCAGUUCUUCAUUUACACUGAAGAAUGAUUAUGAAGCAUUAAGUUUGUCAGCAUUUUGGAUUAAGAUAAAGGAAAACUUCUUUGCUAAGCAGAAAGAGCGACCUGCUAUUAUUACCAUUCACAACGACAGGUUUGUGUGAACUAGGAUUUUCAGUCCUAACCCAGUUAAAAACGAAGGAAAGAAGUGGGUCGAAUGGUGCAGCAGAUAACGCGGGUAGCAUCGUCCCCCUGUGUUCCAGACCGGACUGAACUAAUGAGCAGGCAGGCGUACCCGUCGCAUUAAAUAAAUCUUAACCUGGUUUUGGUUUUGUGUUUCUUAUUCUGUGGUAUUUUUCUGUGUUGUACUUAAAUGUUAAUAUAUCAUUAUAUGUAA